rnacentral:rRNA from 1 species
UACGUAGGCAGCAAGCGUUGUUCGGAGUUACUGGGCGUAAAGGGUGCGUAGGCGGCUUUUUAAGUUUGGUGUGAAAUCUCCCGGCUCAACUGGGAGGGUGCGCCGAAUACUGAGAGGCUAUAGUGUGGGAGAGGAAAGUGGAAUUCCUGGUGUAGCGGUGAAAUGCGUAGAUAUCAGGAGGAACACCGGUGGUGUAAACGGCUUUCUGGACCAUAACUGACGCUGAGUCACGAAAGCGUGGGUAGCAAACAGG